rnacentral:rRNA from 1 species
GUGGGGAAUAUUGGACAAUGGGCGAAAGCCUGAUCCAGCCAUGCCGCGUGUGUGAAGAAGGUCUUCGGAUUGUAAAGCACUUUAAGUUGGGAGGAAGGGCAGUAAGUUAAUACCUUGCUGUUUUGACGUUACCGACAGAAUAAGCACCGGCUAACUUCGUGCCAGCAGCCGCGGUAAUACGUAGGGGGCAAGCGUUGUCCGGAAUGAUUGGGCGUAAAGGGCGCGUAGGCGGCCUGGUAAGUCUGGAGUGAAAGUCCUGCUUUUAAGGUGGGAAAUGCUUUGGAUCCUGUCGGGCUUGAGUGCAGGAGAGGUAAGCGGAAUUCCCGGUGUAGCGGUGAAAUGCGUAGAGAUCGGGAGGAACACCAGUGGCGAAGGCGGCUUACUGGACUGUAACUGACGCUGAGGCGCGAAAGUGUGGGGAGCAAACAGGAUUAGAAACCCCGGUAGUCC